rnacentral:lncRNA from 1 species
AGCCAAUGCCUGAAAUAAUGAACUCCUCCAAGGCAAGAAAUCUGUUUUGAAGCUUCUCUGCGUUCACACACAGCAGCCUGGUUUCCUGGAAGGGCAUUUUCCACAUUGUGCGUUAUGGAUGAUCAUCCCAGGCAUCAGGUGUGAAGCCCUGCAUCCACAUCCAGGGGCUAUCAAAUCUCUCUGCAAAAGGAGAAGCUGGACUCAGGCACGUUUACAGUGAUGUGUAUGCAGACAGAAUCUCACUCUGUCUCCCAGGCUGGAGUGCAGUGGCGCAAUCUUGGCUCACUGCAACCUCCGCCUCUUGGGUUCAAGAGAUUUUCCUGCCUCAGCCUCCCAAGUAGCUGGAAUUACAGAGAGAAGGACACAUUCUUGGAUUGAACCCCAAAGGAUGUUGAACUUAACAAGGAUGUCAGAACUAACCCCACCAUAUUCUGGGACCACUUGCUUGCUAAGAACUAAAAGUCACUUAAACCAGUUAAAUAAAAGAGAGUUGAUUUUAAAGAUGC